rnacentral:rRNA from 1 species
CUGGCUCAGGAUGAACGCUAGCUACAGGCUUAACACAUGCAAGUCGAGGGGCAGCAAAUCGAAAGCUUGCUUUGAUGUGGCGACCGGCGCACGGGUGAGUAACGCGUAUCCAACUUCCCCUUAGUAGGGCAUAGCCCGUAGAAAUGCGGAUUAAUACCCUAUGUUAUUCGUCGAGGACAUCUGAAGUGAAUCAAAGGUUUACCGCUAAGGGAUGGGGAUGCGUCUGAUUAGGCAGCAGGCGGGGUAACGGCCCACCUGGCCUACGAUCAGUAGGGGUUCUGAGAGGAAGGUCCCCCCACAUUGGAACUGAGACACGGUCCAAACUCCUACGGGAGGCAGCAGUGAGGAAUAUUGGUCAAUGGGCGAGAGCCUGAACCAGCCAAGUAGCGUGCAGGACGACGGCCCUAUGGGUUGUAAACUGCUUUUAUGCGGGGAUAAAGUGCGUCACGUGUGGCGUUUUGUAGGUACCGCAUGAAUAAGGACCGGCUAAUUCCGUGCCAGCCGCCGC